rfam:Beauveria bassiana D1-5 contig00042, whole genome shotgun sequence.
UGUCGACGUAAUGAAGGAGACAUUAGGAUGAUGUCGCUUCUUACAAAAGGAACCCGCCGGGAUGGCGUACAAGGAAGGCUUCACAGAUGAAGCACGGAUAACUCAGGCAGAGUUAAGGGACACCUCCAGGACGGAGAAUGAGAGCCGUAACAGGAGUACGGUGGGUCAGGAAGACUCAAGGAUUUAGCGUCAGGAUGAUGUUGGACACCCAUCAGGAUGAUGGUAGCAGGAAGCCCUGGCGAUGGAUUGCUGGUCAGGAGACCAGAGGACAAAGUUGUCAUGGACGAGCAGGGAGCAUGAAAAGUAGCCGGAUUAGCUGCGAAACGAACCGGGAGCACUGUGUAAACAGUGCUCCCUUUUUUUAUG